GUUCGUUAAAGUCUUUGUGCGCUCUCCGAGGCUGAUUCGGGGGCUCCCCACAGCCCCUCACGAGCCUCAGGGUUGCCCAAGCACGGAGAGAAGGCCGUCGUGCAGCCCUCGUCCCGGGGAGAGCUGCCACGUCUGCCCCGUGUUUGUGCCGCUCUUUGCCCCUCUCCUGCUCCCCAGCCCCUCCGAGCCCCGCGAGCGCGAGGAAGACGCUGCAGUGAGGGGGCUGAUGUCUCACGGGUGACUAUUUGGAGCCCUCCUGGAUGGAGUUUCCUUUCCAGCUCCGUCAUCUCCGCAGCCCCGUUUGACUCAACGCUUGGCUCAGCUGCUGAGAGGGUGAGAAAAGGCUGAAAAAUCCAAGUGCAGCAAGACCUGCGCUCCAUCUUUCCUGUCCCACGCCUUAUGCUGAAUCAAAACUGAAUUUUUAGCUGGGUUCAAGCUGUCCGUGAGGCUGGACACCGGGUCAGCUCUGCUCUGUGCAGGCACUAACAUGGAGACAGCUUAACACGUGGGUUUUGUCCUCAUUUAGGAGCUGCUGGAAGCUCUGGAAGUGCCACUGCUUGUGGUGUUGGGGGAUUACCACAACGCUGGGCACUGCAGAGCUGUGUGUGCACGUGGGGUGGAGGUGAAAGUGCACGUGGGGCUUGGAUUCUGGAAUUGUUGAAUUGCUUGAAUUGAACAAUUCUUGGAUUGUUUUCCUGUUUUAGCUCGGUUCUUUCCAGAUGCUCCACCAGAAAUGGCUCUUGGGAGGAGCUGGGAGCCCUGUGGGUGCUCCUGCUGCUGCCAAGGGUGGGCAGGUUGCACCAUGAGGCCAGGCUGCUGUGGGAAGAGCUUGGGGCUGAUUGGGUGUUAAUUAGUUCUGGAGUGAAAUAUGAGGAAUGCAAAAUACUAUUUUAAGCUUCAGCUUGGCCGGGGGAAGGAAGGAAGGAAGGAAACGAGGCUCUGGGGAUGAAUGAAGCGAUUCCACUGCUGGUUUUUUGGGGCAAUAAGCCUGAAGUCAGAGCUCUUUGGGCUGGCUGCAGCCAGCUGAGGUCAGACUUCGGCAUCUAAUCCCUGCUCAGGGUCUGGCUCGGCAGCUUUACGAGGCUGAGCCUUGGAUGAGCUUCCCAACAAAGCUUUUCCCAGGCUGGACAGGGCUUGGAGCAACCUGGGCUAGUGGAAGAUGUCCUUGGCCACUCAGGGGUGAGCUCUGAGGUCUCUUCCAACCCAAACCAUUCCAUGCUAGGUUUGGAGAGGUGCUGGCUCUUGUCUCCUUCAUCUUUCCAGCCCUUCAGGUUGGAAGAGGAGCCAGGGGAACGAGGAGCUGGAUAAAUGUGGGGUGAACACAGAGCUUGGAAGGCCAGAGCUGUCACUCCCACAUCCUCCAGCAGCUCCAGAGAAAACCAAUCCCCACCAACUCACUGGGAAAGGCCAAGGCAGGAAAGAGGGAAAGGUUGAUUACAGGAAAGUGGGAUAUAGAUACAGCGAGUGCUAAGUCAGGAAAAGUUCAGCUCCUUCGAGGUCCAAGUUAAACACGUAUUAAUGAACCUGCCCCUUCCACAGGCUUCCAGACAAAAGUCGGAUGUGUCAAGCCCCGGGGUCUGAAUUAGGAAUUAGCCAAAAAACGAGGCUCUGCAGCAGCCCCAGGAGCAGCUGCCGUGGGGAGAGAGCUCUGGGCUGGCCACGCUGGUCCGGAGCUGUGCUGAGUGUUGUGACAACUCUGCUGCUCACAGUGCCAGGGGG
ensembl:lncRNA